AUUAUUCGUAAGCAUUUGCAUUGCAUCAGCAGUGAAUUUGUUUUCAUCAUAUAAAACGUGAUAAUGUGUUGGUCUACUUGUCCCCUGAAUGCCAGCAUGGCUGUUUAAGUAGAAAUCAAAUUCAGUUGGAUGGCAAAUUUUCGUAUCGACAACGGUACCUGGAAGGAUGUUUCCACUUCGAUCAGUUUCCCGACCAGUGGGGAAAAGACGGGUAUGAUGUCUCUUUUGCACCACUACAAAGGUUAUUGGAGGCUGGUAACCAUCUUCAAGCGAGGCACAUGCCUUCCUGAUUGCAUCCACCUCAUAAAAUAGAACUUGAGAGAACUGUCCUUCACUUACACCAUCCCUGUAGAAUAUUAUUCUGUGCGGUUUCAUAUUCGUUGACCUUCUAAAAGCAAUGAACAGCUCCCUAAUCAUUCCCGCACGCACCAAUCCUUUCUGAGGAUCUUGACUCUCUUUGUACAAAUCUUGUAUAAUUUCUUCACGGUGAGCCUGAGCUGAAACGAUUCCUCUAUACUUCGUUACCUCAGGCCAGUCCAUAGAGGCAACAACAGCUGCUAUUGAAGCACUGGAGUCCUCUCCUGGUUGUGGAUGUGUUACAUCUGCUCCAAUGAUUAUUGUAGGCCGAUCCGUAACAAGAGGAAUUCUUCGCUGAAUAGCAUCAUUAAGGACAUUGUUUCUUCCCCCAACCUUAACAUUAAUUUUAAGG
rnacentral:misc_RNA from 1 species